rnacentral:lncRNA from 1 species
AACUCCCAACCAUUUUAUUUCAACUCAACAGGUUAUGGUCACGAGGCAACGGAGCGAUCUGCUGGCGAAUAUACCCGGCCUGCUCAAACUCGAUGCGAUUCUUAUCGUCAGUAUCUCUAAUCCUUGCUAACCUGAUGAUGAUAAAGAAUAACAGUAUAUGAUAUGCUGCUGAUCAAAAAGUAUGUAAUGAAAACAGGAGACUCUUGACAACUUUGGACAAGAACAAGAGUUUUGGUAUGCGUCCAAAAAUGAAAAUCAAGACAUGGACAACAGCAGCCAAAGGGAUGACAAAUGGUGGCAUCCUAUCGUUAAGGUUCCCGAAAAUGGACUGUCGGAAACAUCACGAAAACGGCUGCAAUAUCAAAAGGAGUCUGUAAGCCAAGUGCUAAAAGCUGCAAUGAACAUCAAUGCUCAAGUCUUAUCUGAAAUACAAAUCCCAGAAAGUUACAUUGAUUCCCUCCCCAAGGUAAAUAAAUCAAUGGAGCUCCACAUAAUAGACUAGAAUGUUAACCUGUACUAAAGCAACAAAUAUGCAUUUUUUGACUUAGAAUGGAAGAGAAAGCCUUGGAGAUUCAAUUUAUAAAAGCAUCACAGUGGAUAGCUUUGAUCCCUUACAAUUUCUGUCAGCUAUGGAUUUCUCGACCGAACACAAAGUACUCGACUUCAAGAACAGGAUUGAAGCCUCCAUUUUGAUUUGGAAAAGGAAGAUGAACCAGAAAGAUGGAUGGAAU